rnacentral:rRNA from 1 species
AACGAACGCUGGCGGCAUGCCUAACACAUGCAAGUCGAACGACACCUCCGUGUCUAGUGGCUCAUGGGUGCGUAACGCGUGGGAACCGUCCCGUAGGCUCGGAAUAACUCUUCGUCAUGGGUGCUAAUACCGGAUAAUGUCUUCGAACCAAAGAUUCAUCGUCUUUGGAUGGGCCCGCGUUGUUUUAGCUGGUUGGUAGUGUAAAAGCCUACCAAGGCAAGGUUCGAUAGCCGGUCUGAGAGAAUGGUCAGCCACACUGGGACUAGGACACGGCCCGGACUCCUACGGGAGGGGGGAGUGCGGGAUCUUGGAAAAUCGCGUGAGGCCUGAACCCGCUAUGCCGGGAGAGUGAUGAAGGCCGGAAAGAAAUAAAGCUGUUUUACACGGCAUGAUACUGACGGUACCGGAAGAAUAAGCUCCGGCUAACUCCGUG